AAAAACAUAGUAUAACUUAAUACAUUUCACUUACACUGAAAAUAUACUUAUCUAUAAGUUGUUUUUA
rnacentral:tRNA from 1 species